GACGGAGGAUGCAAGCGUUAUCCGGAAUUAUUGGGCGUAAAGCGUCCGCAGGUGGACAUACAAGUCUGCUGUCAAAGUGCAGAGCUUAACUCUGUAAAGGCGGUGGAAACUGUAGGUCUUGAGUAUGGUAGGGGUAGAGGGAAUUCCCGGUGUAGCGGUGAAAUGCGUAGAUAUCGGGAAGAACACCAGUGGCGAAAGCGGGUCUCUGGGCCGAUACUGACGCUGAGGAGCGAAAGCGUGGGGAGCGAACAGG
rnacentral:rRNA from 1 species